rnacentral:rRNA from 1 species
UACGUAGGCAGCGAGCGUUGUUCGGAAUUACUGGGCGUAAAGAGUGUGUAGGCGGUGCUCCCAGUCUGUUGUGAAAUCUCCCGGCUUAACUGGGAGGGUGCAGCGGAAACUAGAGUGCUAGAGGGUGGGAGAGGUAAGCGGGAUUCCUGGUGUAGCGGUGAAAUGCGUAGAUAUCAGGAGGAACACCUGUGGUGUAGACAGCUUACUGGACCACUUCUGACGCUGAGACACGAAAGCGUGGGUAGCAAACAGG